CCCUUAGAUGUUCUGGGCCGCACGCGUGCUACACUGAGUGGAUCAGCGGGUCAGGUUGCGCGAAAGCGUUUCCUAAUCUUUAAAUCCGCUCGUGAUGGGGAUUGACGGUUGCAAUUUUCUGUCAUGAACGAGGAAUACCUUGUAAGCGCGGGUCAUCAUCCCGCGCUGAAUACGUCCCUGCCCUUUGUACACACCGCCCGUCGCUCCUACCGAUUGAAUGGUUUAGUGAGGCCUUCGGAUCCGCGACUCGUUUGUGGAGAAGUUGGACAAACUCAGUCAUUUAGAGGAAGUAAAAGUCGUAACA
rnacentral:rRNA from 1 species